GGAGUUGGGAUUCUGAACAGGUGGUUUGUUCGUAGGUUAGUGGGGAGAAAUUUGAGGUAUUUGGGUAUAAUCAUAUUAUUUUUUCUUUUUGAUAUUUUUUUCUCUCUCUGAAAACUCCCAAAAUUUUUUACGUUCAUUUUUUUUUGUUCUGGAAAAAUUCUUUUUGUUUUCUUGCUUUUGAAAUUCCAUCGCAAUUCUGUCAUUCAAGUUCGGUUUUCAGUUCUUCGGUGUCCUUGCGCGGUUUGGUAAGUGUAAAGGGUGUUUUCAUGUGGGUUGGGGAAAUCGUUUUAAUUGUUCAAAUCAAUGCUAUUCCUUUAUUUCUGUUGUUGAUUUCGAGUUUUGGCAGUAGUGAAUCGGGAAGAAAGAGGCUCUCCUCUCGCGAAAUCGUAAUUGAAAUCAUUCUGAGUGUUGGGUUAAGUGAUGAAUGUUUGAAUUGAAC
rnacentral:lncRNA from 1 species